UACGUAGGGUGCGAGCGUUGUCCGGAAUUAUUGGGCGUAAAGAGCUCGUAGGCGGUCUGUCGCGUCGGUCGUGAAAACUUGGGGCUUAACCCUGAGCUUGCGGUCGAUACGGGCAUGACUGGAGUUCGGCAGGGGAGACUGGAAUUCCUGGUGUAGCGGUGAAAUGCGCAGAUAUCAGGAGGAACACCGGUGGCGAAGGCGGGUCUCUGGGCCUGACCUGACGCUGAGGAGCGAAAGCGUGGGGAGCGAACAGG
rnacentral:rRNA from 1 species